AAGUAAAAUAUCAAUAACAUAUGCAAAGAUGUCGGAGUACAUCACAUCCUUUGUUGACAAGACGAAAUUAAGAUCAGGGUGACUACUUGUCAAAAAGGCUUAGCAGAGACCUCCUUUUGAAGCAAAAGCCAAAUUGAGCGAGUUGAAACCGAGUCACUAGUAUCUUCAAAGGGCACGGGCAAUAAGUGCUUUAGAGUAGCUUUGGUUUCAGAGACAACGGGAAGGAACUUCAUGUUGUUGGCUGGACUUGGACUUGGACGCCAUUUCUGGGCUCCCAGAGGGUUUGUCAGGCAAUGAAAAGAAAAGAAGGAAGCCUUGUGACUGUCUUUUUGUGUCUAGCUUAUUUCCCUUUAGACUCCCCUCAAGUUUGUUAGGAGUCAAGUUAAGGUUCCACUCGUUAGGAAAUAUGAGACCUGACAAGCAAACGGACUUUCAUUUGUCCAGAGCGGAGCUUAGAAGAGGGAUUUUCGUAAACAUCCCAUGAUUUUCAUCCACUCCUCGUCGAGGAAAAGUUUUCGAGGUCAGAACCAACCAGCGACAAGCGACAAAACCGAUUCGACUCGGCCAAGGUUGAAGUUGUUAAGCUGGCCUUUUCUUAGGGCAAAGGGUGCUUUCAUGCAUUACCCUUAAAGGCUUUCAUAGAUCCAAUGACGAGCUUUCCAAACCUGAGAAAUUGAUCCCAGAAUUGGAAUUGACGUCGCCCUCGUCGCUAACUUGGGAAGUGACCAGGAUUUGGCUUCAAAGUCACAAAACUAGUUCCAUUUUCGUCCCGUUUCCCAUGUUUGUGGAUUUGAGGUCAGCCCAGGCAAAGAGAAUGGAUCUGUGUCUAAGAGGAUUGCAAAAGGUCGUUCCUCCAUCGGCCUUUACCAGCAUUGGAUUCGAUCCACGUUACUGGCCUUGAAAGCGACUAAGGAGUGGGCGAAGGGGCGAAAAAAGCCGACUUCUCGACGAGAGACUCCAAUCGACCUGGCUUCCAUCGAGUUCAAGCAGAAACAUAUAAAAUGGAUUUGGAGCCCACACUAGUGCUUGACUGGGUUCUAGACUGCAAGUAAACCGUAUUGCCUUAAAACCGUGAACAUACUUCCCCAAUGGACCAAAAUCUGUCUGCUUUAUUCCAGCUUCUACUAGUGCGUAAAUACGAACAGCUCAUACAGAAGAUCAUGGUAGCACUGCAUAGAGCUAGACUCGAGGAGCUGCCUCAAUCCUGGCUUCAAAUUGGCUCUCGCACGCAAUGCGAUGUCAGAUGCUGCAAAAUGAGCGGGUGGUCGGUCGUUCCACAUUCCUUGUUACCCAGUAGAAGGCCCGGAUGUGUCUUCUGGUAUCGAUUUGAUUCGGCGGGCACUUGAUCGUCUGGUAGAUUUUAUUCCCCAGACAAUCGUGCUCUUGACGACGGCUUGAUAGUUGCCUCUCGAGCCGUGCUUCCUGCUCCCAAGAGACUUGAAAACGAGUGUUUUUAUACAAAUCCCGUGAUCAUUACAUACGAAACAUCCAUUAGAUGCCAUU